AAUAAUUGAGUGCUGUUCGCCGCCGUCUCUCUGGCGCUGUUCUCGAGGCGACACCACGCGCCUGCCCUGCAGAGGGCGCCAGAGGCCCGCCUCGCUGCGUGCCUGCGAAGCCUCCCCGAUGGCCACUCAGGCCGACAAGACUGCGCGUUGAGUGGGGGGACACUCAUGGCACAUCCCACACAGGCUGCUGUGCCGUGCACUCAUACUGUAAUGGAUGGGCGACAGCUUCGGGAGGCCUCCGUCCAGCAGAGGAUAGAUGAUGGCUGAUGAUAAUGACAAACCGAGGCUUGAGGGACCCUGACAAAGGAAAUGGAGCAGCAACUGCAGAGUGCACACGGAAAGCACGGAGAGGCACCACGAUGGGAAUCACGCGGAGAGACUGUCCGGGUAGCGGGCGUGAGAGUGGUGGACGCGCAUCUUGCAAGGUUUGAUGCCCAGUGGGCGAGCCUGGCGAUGGAAUGGCGGCAGAGGGAGAGAGCGAGCCCCAGAGGGCGUCCGCCGAGGAGACGGAGUCCACGGUGGGAUCGGCUUGUGCGCGAGCGGGGACGGCGUGGGGCUUUAGCGUUGCAGGACUGCACGGCAUUGGCCCACGGCGUGGGGAGAUCUGCAUCCAGCAGUAGACGGAGCUCGCUCCCUGAUCAUCUCACUCUCUGGUCCCCGUGCCUCUGCUGGACAUCUGUGAAAAAGAGCUUCAUAGCUUCGUCAGGUUCCUCCAGAAUAAAUAAACAUUCUGAUGAUGAUGAAUAAUUAUGUGUAAUUUGCAGGCCUUCCAUCAGUCCACUGCUGGAUGAAAGUCUCCCCCACACACCAUGUGAGUCAAGGGGGCUUUUUGACCCGACCGCACCGCGUUGGUCAUCGCUGUCGGAAGGGGGUCAGGAGGCACGGAGCGGUCCACGUAACCCGCUGUGUCCCUGUGCCGGCCACGCGGCGCCCCGCACACACACACAGACACCGCACGAGCCACGUGCAUCGCGGCUGCUUUAACGAACGCAGGUUAAUUAAUUAAUGAAACCUCCCCCAUUUUUAUUGCACAAGAAUCGCGGAGUAAGAUGUUGGUCGGCUGACAGAUCCUUCUCAAGAACGCGCACGUCAACACGCACGCUCGCUGCGGCGGAUGAUACCUUCACGUGAAUAAUUAUUUUUGUGAGUCAUUGCGAUGAUGGUGGCAGAGAUAAUGAGGGUAAGAAGGGAGCAUUAAUUCGAUGGGUGCUCAGGUUGAUGAAAACCCUCUUGAAAGGUUUAUUUUCUGUCCCCCCCCCACUCGCUCUCACCGGGCGGAGGGGCUCUCUCGGCAGCGGCCGCCGCCACCGCCGCCGUGGGUGCCGGGCUCGGCGGGGGGAGCCCUCGCGCCAGAUGCUCCACGUGCCGUGCAGCCGCCCGUAAAUUCUCCGUGUCGGGGCCCAACCUGUAAACGAUACUGUUUUAUUUCCUUUUAUUGGGGCGAAAGAAAUCAAAUCUCGCCGCCGAAAUGUCAGGCUGUGACGCGGCAAAGCACGGCAGGACAAUUAUGCUAAUGCGCAAUCUGUUGAGGGGAAAAUUCUCCGCUCCCCGAGGUCAUUUUCACCGCAAGUGUCUAUUCAUUGCUCACCUUCCCUUCCCUCGCCACCGCCUGUGAUGUCUCCGCAGAGUGCCACGGUGCCGCUCCUCGUGGGAAGAUCAAGUUGUCUCAAAGUUGUUUUUGAAACUACAAUCCCCUUGCAUUCAUCUCGCUUUCUCCAUUAUAUUUUAUUGAAAAAUAAAUUAGGUGCGCUGUAUAUACAUUUUUUUGCGUCCACUGUGCGACGUGAUAACCCGAGGAUGCCUCGUGGUCCUGCUAAGAUAAAUACAUUUUUGAAAAAUGAAUCGCUCUGAAUGAGACGUCCGCGCUUUACGGCAGCAGACUGUCCCGCUACCAGGGGCCCCGAAAAGACGAGCUAAUAGAAUUACUUUACGCGAGGCAGCUCGUUUACAUCGUGUGCAGCUCGUUGGCGGGUCGACGCCGCUUGCUUCCCGAGAAUUCUCCCCGCCGCCGUGUGGCGUCGAUCGGACGAGGAGGAGGAGGAGGGGGCAGGCUCCUCGCCCCCCCCCCCCCUGCGUACCGGGGCCCCCAGGGCGGGCCGCCGGCCGGAGUCGCGUUCCCCGGCGGGAGGGACGGGCGGGACGGCGGGACCGGUGGGGUCACGUGGCGCCCCGUGCCCGGCGAGCGCCAUCUGGGCUGGGGGUUCGGGUUCGGACGGCCCCCUCACCAAGUGAGAGCGCCCUACCUCGGAGCACACCACACGGCGCGUAUCAUCAUACGCUCAUUAUAUAAAAAUCUUGAGAGGAGCCGCGGUUUUGCAAGUGCUAUUUUGCUAAUUAAAUGAACACCGAGAUCUCACUAGAUUAUGAGCGUGACAUUUAAAAUCCGCAUACCCCGCUGAAAGGUGUAUAUACUAUUUUGGUAUUUUCUACGUUCUGAGGAAUGGAGCGGUGCUGCUGAAUUUGACGAUCUCCCGGCGCAUUCAAAAUCCUUUCAUUUCUUUCUUCGCAUCUCUCUCCUUUUAAACUUGUGUUUCGUUUGUGCGCACGCGCCCGCGCCGUGCGCGUGUGCCUUUGAACCAUUCCGCCGUUUGUUGGAAUAAAUGUUAUUGACUGUUAAUAUUUUUAGAGGUCAGGGGACCGCGUGAAAUAAAUAACGUCGCUUGACGCUCCGCGUUCACGUGGAAGUUGCAA